ensembl:lncRNA
CUCAUGCUGGUUUCUAUCCUGGUCCAGCAAGUGUGAACUCAAAACUUGAAAACUGUAUAGAACUGAAAAGAAUUGUUGAGUUGUAUUGAUAAGACUUAUUAGUGCUGUUAAUUGAAGUAGUUCAUUUUGUUUCUGUAGGUUUUUUUAAAACUUAGGAGAUUCUCAGAAGUAGGUAUUAAGAUUUGUUAAGUAUGUCUUACUCAGCAGUUCUCAGAGCGAAUACAGCUGUGGAAGGGCUAUUUUUUAUGGCUCCUAAAUGUUGAAUGCUUUCAAAAGGACAUGAGAUGGUUUAUAUCCUGAAAUUGAGACUGUAAAAGCUAAUCAAUACUGUGGUUAGAGUAUAGUUUUUAAUACCCAAUUUCAUUUGACUCAGUAGAACAGGAAGCGCAAAUAGUUGCUACCAGGAGGCUAGAAACACGUAGAAAUUCAAGACUGAUCAAAGAGUAAAACUGGUUCUGUUGUUUUUGAAUAGGGAACGUUACUUAACAUUUUCCUGGUUUUACUUUGCCCUCUUUUGUGGCUACUUUUGUGGGCUGUGUUUUUUGACAGUUAAGAGGCUGUAAGAGGUUCUUUUUCACAUCUUUUGAUUCUUUUUGUUGUUAGAUUGAAGAGAGUUAUACAUAAUUGAGUUCUACGAUUGAGUUUUAGUAAAGCCUUUAGGAAAUAAUUUUAUAGGGUGCUUUAAUUACUUUUAAAUUUAUGGGGAGUGGGAGAAAUGAGUUACAAAAGCAGGCAGGAUCAAAACCUUGCUUAGUUUCCUCUGUUUUGAGUUGAGUAAACUUGUAUUUAGGGAAAGAACAGUUGUUAAGCCUUGAGUGAGAUUUUGGAAGCACUGUGUAGAUUAGUGAGAAGGGUGUAAGCAUAGCAGCAAGGAAGGAAUUGUAGGUUUAGUUAGCCAGAAAUAGGGCCUUAUUGAAAUGAUGAUUAAAAUAGAGUAGAACCCAGGAACAUAGUCCAAGGGGAGACAUUUCAAAACUCCCUUUGGUUUAAUGGAGAUUCUGGUUAGCUCUGUUUCUUGAAGUCUUGAGUUGGUUAUAGAUCCUACACUGAAUUGUGAUGGGUACUGCAAACAGACUUAAGGGUUUUGUUAGUUUUUGCAGGUAGCCAAAUGGAACCUAUUGCAGUCAUCAAACCAUAGAGUCUCAAUCACAUCAGUUACUCCAGCCAACAAAGAGGGAUAAAGUUAUAUGCCACGCUUCCGAAUCGUGCUCAGGAGAUCUUUUCUUCUCCAGUCCCUGGCAAAAUUUCUUGUUGACCAAAUCCAG